ACGGCUCAGUAACACGUAGGUGACCUGCCCUGAAGUGGGGGAUAACGACUCGAAAGAGUCGCUAAUACCGCAUGUGACCACCGAUCCGUUUUCGGUGCUCAAAGUCGCAAGACGCUUUAGGAGGGGCCUGCGGCGGAUUAGCUAGUUGGUGAGGUAAUGGCCCACCAAGGCUUCGAUCCGUAGCUGGUCUGAGAGGAUGGCCAGCCAGACUGGGACUGAGACACGGCCCAGACUCCUACGGGAGGCAGCAGUUAGGAAUUUUGCGCAAUGGGGGAAACCCCGACGCAGCCACGCCGCGUGCGGGAUGAAGGCCUUCGGGUCGUAAACCGCCUUUCUCGAGGAAGACACCCGACGGUACUCGAGGCAUAAGCAACGGCUAACUACGUGCCAGCAGCCGCGGUAAUACGUAGGUUGCGAGCGUUGUCCGGAUUUACUGGGCGUAAAGCGCACGCAGGCGGUUCCGAAAGUCGAAUGUGAAAGCUCCUGGCCCAACUGGGAGAGGCCGUUCGAAACUUCGGGACUUGAAGGCGGGAGAGGCAGAUGGAAUUUCCGGUGUAGCGGUAAAAUGCGUAGAUACCGGAAGGAACACCAGUGGCGAAAGCGAUCUGCUGGCCCGCCCUUGACGCUCAGGUGCGAAAGCUAAGGGAGCGACCGGGAUUAGAUACCCCGUUAGUCCUAGCCGUAAACAAUGGGCACUAGGUGUUGUCGGUAUCGACCCCGGCAGUGCCGAAGCUAACGCAUUAAAGUGCCCCGCCUGGGGAGUACGACCGCAAGGUUAAAACUCAAAGGAAUUGGCGGGGGAGCAC
rnacentral:rRNA from 1 species